UACAGAGGGUGCGAGCGUUGUUCGGAAUUACUGGGCGUAAAGCGCGCGCAGGCGGCCCUUUAAGUCUACCCGUGAAAUGCCGGAGCUCAACUCCGUGCACGCCGGGGGAUACUGGGGGGCUGGAGACAGGUGGAGGCAAGCGGAAUUCCGGGUGUAGCGGUGGAAUGCGUAGAUAUCCGGAAGAACACCUGAGGCGAAGGCGGCUUGCUGGGCCUGAUCUGACGCUGAGGCGCGAAAGCGUGGGGAGCAAACAGG
rnacentral:rRNA from 1 species